CAAAAGAAAUCUUGUAUUAAUCCACGAAAGAUAUAAAUGCAAGGGAGACGACUAGCACAAAAAGCUGGCUAGGCAAAAUACAAGAGAAAACAAUACCAAAAGUUUGGCAUCUCACACAGUAUUUUGGUUAACAAACAACAUGGUUCCCCGGCCAUCACAUGAGAAGAGAACCAGAAAGCACCUCUUUCAGUAGGUCAAGAAACAGAGAGAUUCACAAAACAAAACAAACGCACAAGUACUUAUUUAGGGUAGUUGGUGAUCAUGACCACAGACCACAGUGUUCAACUAGUAAAGGGCCUGAAGAUUAAAAGUGGUGAUGUUUUCCCUCUUCUUUUGCUUCUUUCUUCUCAUGGUGCUCAUGGAAGGCGUACCCGCCGGAUCCAACUGCAACAGCUGCUGCAAUUUCUUCCUCAAUCUUGUGCUUGUGCGCAUUCUCCGGGUCUUUCUUUGCCUUGUGCUUCUCAUGCUGAAUAUUUUUGUCACAAGAGAACCAAAAUAGUAAGAAAUAUAUGGGUGCUCACUAUUUUUAAGGGCAAUGCUUAGACAAGGAUGAAAGUGCAUAGAUCUAAACACAGAUGAGUCUGCAACCAUCCGAUUUACAUAGGAUCGAUCCAAAUGCUAGAUGUGGGGGCCCCAUAUAUAUAUAUAUAUAUAUAUUGCUAUGAAGAUUGGAGAGGGCAUAAAAAAACUGAGAAUAUGAUUUGGAUCAGACUUGAAUCUACACGGCUAAAUUACUUGCUGGUAUGUUUUGAACUAGUUUUUAAUGAAUAAAGGGUAAUAUUCAUAGAGCUACUAGAAUUUCCCUUUUUUGUUGAAUCUGACUAGUUUUUUUGUAUCUCGUGCCUUUGAGAAGCUUUUUUUUUUUUUUUUUUUUUUCCGGCAGAAGAAAGUUCUAUAAAAACUCGAUAAAGGGUAAUUUUAUAAAAACUUGAUAAAUACCAAGAUAAGGGUAA